rnacentral:rRNA from 1 species
UACGUAGGGUGCAGGCGUUAAUCGGAAUUACUGGGCGUAAAGCGUGCGCAGGCGGUUUGCUAAGUCAGGUGUGAAAUCCCCGGGCUUAACCUGGGAAUUGCGCUUGCAACUGGCAAUCUAGAGUGUGGCAGAGGAGGGUGGAAUUCCACGUGUAGCAGUGAAAUGCGUAGAUAUGUGGAGGAACACCGAUGGCGAAGGCAGCCCCCUGGGUUAACACUGACGCUGAUGCACGAAAGCGUGGGGAGCAAACAGG